CAGUAGCCGCGGUAAUACGGAGGGUGCAAGCGUUAAUCGGAAUUACUGGGCGUAAAGCGCACGCAGGCGGUUUGUUAAGUCAGAUGUGAAAUCCCCAGGCUCAACCUGGGAACUGCAUCUGAUACUGGCAAGCUUGAGUCUCGUAGAGGGGGGUAGAAUUCCAGGUGUAGCGGUGAAAUGCGUAGAGAUCUGGAGGAAUACCGGUGGCGAAGGCGGCCCCCUGGACGAAGGCUGACGCUCAGGUGCGAAAGCGUGGGGAGCAAACAGGAUUAGAUACCCCGGUAGUCCCUGUCUCUUAUAC
rnacentral:rRNA from 1 species